rnacentral:rRNA from 1 species
UACGUAGGGUGCAAGCGUUGUCCGGAUUUAUUGGGCGUAAAGAGCUCGUAGGCGGCUCAGUAAGUCGGGUGUGAAAACUCCAGGCUCAACCUGGAGACGCCACCCGAUACUGCUGUGGCUAGAGUCCGGUAGGGGAGCAUGGAAUUCCGGUGUAGCGGUGAAAUGCGCAGAUAUCAGGAGGAACACCAGUGGCGAAGGCGGUGCUCUGGGCCGGAACUGAC